CUCGGGCUUGUGUGUGUGUAAGCACGGGGCUUUCGAGAUGGUUCCUCAGAUAAAUGCUUACGCAAUUUAAGGUGUGAAUGCGCUACAGCAUGCAAGCUGAGACGAGGCCUAGUGAUAGCAAAGCUUAUGUGGCCUGAGGUGUGGUAGUUUACAGCUGGGCAUAGGGAACGGUAAGUCUGGCAAGCAGAGGAGUGGUGGCUGGAGAUCCGAUUGCCUGCUGGAGCUGCCGCGGUGGGGUGGGAAAGCUGCUUCUCCCAGGAAAGCAGGAGACAGCUCGUGUGUGUACUGCUAACAUCUGCUGGGGUCUUUGAGAUCAGACACCUCCUCCUCUCGAUUCUUCCUGCAUUUUGUUUGGUUUUUUGUAAACCCCCUUCCCUAAAAUGCUUGAGUCAUUCUGUUACCAGAAAGCGGCAAAAUAAUUCACUCUUUUAAGACUUAUUUUGAAGUUUUAGAAAGCAGGCAUUCUUUAUUGCAGCGCUGGGUGCACGGGGGAUAACUCCACCUAACGCGCACACCCAAAAGACAAAACUAGCAAGUAUUUAUACUAUGUUAAUAUACAGUGCCCACCUUUCUGGUCCAGGACAGUGAGUACCAUGUGUGGUACAAAACCAGCCAAUCUUCUGUCCCAGUGUCAGUUUCCAGGCCUCUUGAAUUAGCAGCACAGUAGCAGCCACAGCUCUCAGACAUCCUGGCCAUCCUUUGCUGAUAUUGUCCAAUUGCUUGGAGAAAUAGGCCACAGCAUGUCUGUUGCCUCCCAAAAUCUGAGAGAGCACCCCCAGAGCUACAGCUUGCUGCUCAUGAACAAACAAUUCAAAGGUUUUGGUUAGAUCCAGGAGUCCUAAAGCUGGUGCUUUCAUCAGAGUUCUUUUUAGUUGUUUGAAAGCAUUUCUGGUCCCAUUCCAAAUGUUCAGAUGGUGAAUUUUUCCGUAGUUCGUAGAAAGGUUUCACAGUGAGUCCAUAAUUGGUGGUCCACAGCCUGCACCACCCCACUAUUCUAAGGAAGGUUCGCAGUUCGUGUGCGUUCUGGGGCUCUGUGAGUUGACAGAUAGCUUCUUUUCUCUCCGUGCUCAGUCUUCUUUGUCCUUUUAAAAGUUCAAAUCCCAAGCAUUUAACAGAUUCUUGUGUGAUUUGAGUUUUUUCUUUUGAAACUCGGUAACUCUUUAAUCCCAGAAAAUUCAAAAGAUCAGUGGUUAAUUGUAAGCAUUCUUCCCAGGUUACAGUUGCAAUGAAAAUAUCAUCAACAUACUGCAACACAGUCCCUGUUUUAUGUUUCCUUUUCCAGGUUUCCAAUUCUUUGGCUAAUUGAUUUCCAAAUAUUGUGGGACUAUUUUUAAAUCCCUGUGGCAACACUGUCCAAGUAUACUGUGAUUUGCAACCCAUUUCUGGGUCUUCCCACUCAAAGGCAAAUAUAUUUUGACUUUCACGCUCGAGAGAUAUGCAGAAAAAGGCAUCUUUCAAAUCUAUAAGUGUGAACCACUCUUGGUUUUAGCCCGAUUCUAGCCUCUAGUUUCAAAGGAUAUUGUUUUUGCCUUACCGGCUUCAUUCCUGCUUUGAGUUCAGUCUUUAGCGGUUCAGCAUUCUUAGCUUUACCAGGGACUUCUCCAGCCCAUACAAGGGGUGUCACUGCAUUUUUCACUUCCGUUGGAAUGCCAGUUUCUAAAAUUUUAUCUUCCUCAAAAUAAGAGUACAGAUGCUUGUGCAAGUUUAGAUUCAGGAAUUAACACCUCGAUCUCCCCAUCUUUAAAGGUGAUUUGCGCUUCCAAUUUACUCAAUAGGUCCCGUCUCAAGCGUGAUAUAGGACAUUCAGGCAUAUAUAAAAAUUGGUGAGUUACUCAUUGUUCUUCGAGCUUAAAAUUUAAAGGAUGGAAAAAGGCACGCUGUUCUGCUUUCCCUGUGGCACUCACAACGUUUACUGUAUCAUCGCUCAAUUUUCUUUGACAAGUAAUAAGUUACCCCAGUAUCUACAAGAAAAUUUAUUUUCCAUUUCCCCAGCUCUACUGUGGGGUUCUGCUGGGGACGUUUCCCCCAGUCCCCUUCAGGACCUAGUUAAGGGGAACUGAUGUGGAAAGGGAGCUGCUCCUUGAUUGUAUCGUGCCUCCUCCAGAACCUCUGGACUGAGAGGAAUAGGACCCCUAAAAUGGUCCCUAAUCUUUCCAAUGUCCCAAUUCUUUAGAAUAUGCACACUGAUUAUCUCCUAAGGUAUUCCUGUUUUUUUGUGCUGGAGGGGCCUCGCCUCUCCCCCCAUAGUAUUGCCAUCCUCCCCUGAAGUUACUGUUUGCUGAUGCUCCCUGCAGUGCAGCUCUCAGGUUACUGGCUCUUUCCCUGUCUCUCCGUGCCUGUCUUCGCUCUCUUCCAUUUUCUCGUUGCUCUUCUCUAAUUUUCUUCUCUUUCUCCCUGUUAUCAAAAACCAUCCAUGCAACCUCCAACAUCUUUCAUUAAUUCCAAAUCAUCCUCCUCAUCACGCCCGCACUUCAAACACUGUUGCCCUGUACUACAAGCAGAGCAACACCUUCACAGCCUCCCGCUGCCUUUUCCUGCAACAACUUUUUCCUAUCCCCAUUCUCUUUAACCACUUCUUGGUUAUUAUACAUUUUCCCAGCCCUUUCCAACAACUUGCUCAAAUUCCUCCAAUCUUCAAAUAUCCACAGAUGCCUGUUCCACAAAAGAUAAAUGCUAACUGCAAGGCAUCUCCCUCCUUUUCAGGAUCUUCCCUAUAAAUACCUGCCAGCUGUUUCCACAAGCAUAAAUCAGUCACUGAGAAGAGUACUUUAAUGGUCACUGGUCCCUCUGCCCCUACUGCCUGUCGCAGCAGAGCUUGCACAACUCAACCUCCCAAUCCUCCCCUCGUUUCCCUGCAAUAGCACUGAAUUUCUCAUUUCCAGCAAAAGAUUCCCCUUCAUCAGAAACAUCUUCCUCAUCUGGUCCUCCGUAUUUGAAGCACCGUUGACUGAUAUUACAUGCUGAACAGCAACGCUUAGAGAGUUUCUGAUUAUCUUUUUCCAAGGUCAGAACCAAAGGAUCUCUCGGUAUUAAUUUACAUUACCUGCUCCAUUCAGGAUGAUCUUGUAAAGCAGAGAAUAAAUCAACAUAGGGAACUUCAUCUCGUUUUCCUUCCCCUUUUAAGAAUAACAACAACUGUAACAGAGUAUCAUAAAAGUCCCAUUAACCGGCCACUUUUCUCCAUCAUUCAGUCUAUACAAUGGCCACCACUGAUUACAAUAUUUGAUUAGAUCAUCUUUCUUUGCAACUCCUCCUGGGGGUCCUGCUAUUUGCUUCCAAUUUAAUAAAAUGCACCCAAGAGGGGAUUUCUUUAAGAUCAAUUCCCUUUUAGAAGUUCCAGUUUCCAUUUUAAAAACAGGCCACAACACAGUUUAACCCCAGCUUUUUAAAACAGUAAUACACACUUACAAACACUAUAACAACAAACACAAAACCACACAAUUACGAUCACGGCUGUAUUCAACGUUCAACAGACAAACUUCCGAGCUUCGGUAUCAGGAAGGAGACUUAUCCUUCAGUUUCAAUCAAAGGGUACUUUCCCUUUGCCCCAGGGAUACAGCCCAACCCUGUGCAGCUUUCGGUUUUGCUACGACUGACAGGCGGACAACAGAAAAUCAUACUGAAAGAAUGCCUUUACCUUAUUGAUGGUCCUUGCUCAGAACUCUUUGGUCCGGGGAUCGGAGGUUCUCCCUGGGAAUCCCUCGGUGCUGGCUGGAGGUCCUGCGAUCCCUUGGAUCCGCCGAUGUUCAAGAGCAGUGUCCCAUCUGGGGUGCCAAAAUCUGUUACCAGAAAGCAGCAAAAUAAUUCACUCUCUAAGACUUAUUUUGAAGUUUUAGAAAGCAGGCAUUCUUUAUUGCAGCGCGGGGUGCACGGGGGAUAACUCCACCUAACGCGCACACCCAAAAGACAAAACUAGCAAGUAUUUAUACUAUGUUAAUACACAUAUUCAGUAUAUUUCUGAGUAGUGCUUAUCACAUUCAUGGAUUUUCCAGGAACUCAUUAGCAUAUGCUAAUGUCUUUCGCACAUGUUUGUUGGCACCUCUGGGUGGUCGUCGGGGGUCUUCAGACUCAGCCCUGGUAUCACGUAUACCUUAUCCCUCAAGGCUGGUUUUGUGAUCACCUUGUAACUUUCUUAUCUUUGUGCAUCCGUUCUUCCAAGGCUGAGCUGUUUAAAAUGAGAUUGUUCCAGAGCUUCUUAUCUUACAUCUAGUUAUUUUCUAAGUUACAGUGGUUUCCCUUUUGUUUGGUUACAUCUAUUGACCAAUGGCUCUAAUUGCUUGAAUUGAUCUUAAUAUUUCAAUAUUCACAGGUAUCAAUUCUAUCAGUUUCUCCUACUGGAUAGCACACACGAGGCUUGAAUUGUUCAGAGAAAAUGAAGCACUAAUGCAAUUUUAUUAAAGAGAAAAUAGAUUACCUAACCCUGUAGACAGCCUAAGGCAUCUACUGUUCUUGUUUCGGAUUAGCAGCUUUCUGAGAGGAGUGUUGUGAUAAUUUGUGUUUUAGGUUCUUUUGUCCUGUGCCUGUACAGAAUUUACCUCUCUCCUUGUGUCUGGUUCCUGUGCCCUGCCUUUGUAAGAGAAUUGCUGGUCUCCACUGUGACUUUGGUGCUUGUGCUCUUGUAAUGGUCUAGCACAAUCCCAGAGAAGCAUCACCACUGCUGUCGAAAUUUCUGACAAUAACUGAUUGCUUUUGUUACUCAGUUACAGCUUGCAUUAGUUAUCAUUAAAAAAUUUGUUCAACAAAGCCAGGCAAAAGAAAUGGUUAAGAGAAAAAGGUUUUUAGGCCUGAAGAGGGAGAAGUGAAUACAAAAACAUGUGGAUCACAUUACAGAAACAACUGCUUUCAUUCACAAGGCGGCAUUUAUUGGUUAGCCAAGCUCGGAUAUGUGUAGGUGUGGCUUCCAAAGAACCAGGGAAGAGAAAAAGUUCCGGAAAGCUGCAUAUUUGUUUUAGUUUUUUAUACAAAUAUAUAAUCCCUGACUGCAAGAAACACCUGAGACAACAAAAUUCUGAUCUUUUUGGUGACUUCUGAAAUCAGAAAAGUUUGACGUGAGUCUGCUAUGAACCAAAGACGACAUGAAGGGACAGAAAAUACCAUCUCCUCUCAUCUAUUUAUUUCACAUAGGUGCUACACUUUGGGGUUUUACAGAACAGGAGACAGUAACGGGGCUAUUUUCCAAGGAUUGCAUCCUCCCUUGUACUUUCCCACCUGGUGAUGAUGAAGUAAUUUACUGGAAGAAAGGGGACAAAAAUGUGCACAGCUACUACUACCAGAUGGAUCAGCUGGAAAGACAAGACCCAAAUUACAGACAUAGAACACACCUUUUCUACCAGAACAUUUCUCAUGGAAAUGCCUCCUUGAAACUUAGUAACUUGACUGUGACUGAUGAGGGCUCUUAUAAUUGUUAUGUAGGAACACAGCAAACUAAAACAGAAGUUGAAGUCACCCUGCGCGUAAGAGUUUGCUCUUAUUAUGCACUGGAAUACCAAAAGACAGACACAGAAAGGACUCUGAAGUGCUAUGCUUUUCUCACUUACCCAGCACCACGUAUAUCUUGGGUACAAGGCAAUACAUCCACCCAAGAAACAGGUCGGGAGGACACCAGGGAUGGAGUUCUCUAUUCUGUUAGAAGCGACCAGAACAUUAUGAACACAGCUGAUCCUUAUUACUGUCAUAUUCAUCUCCCUCAUGAAGAGUGGACUGGUGAAUGGAAGAUGCAAGACCAACUGUCUACUGUGGGAGGAAGUAGCAUUGUAAUUCCUUGUGAAUACAGCAGUAACACUGCAAACACCGAAGGCUUCACUGUUGUCUGGACAUUAACCAGAAACGCAGUGGUCUCAGUCCUGGCCUCCUUCAAUGGUACAUCCCACUCUUACCAGCCUCGAGUCGAGAUUAACCAAAGUGACUUUUCACUGAUAUUGGUUGAUCUUACUGCAAAUGACAGUGGAGAAUAUCUGUGUAAUAUUUCAACACCUCACAACACAAAACUUACUGUGAGAACUUUGCAAGUUGAAAAUUCAGGUAACACCUCGAAGAUUGUGCUAAAAGUGAUCGCUGUACUGUUGGCGAUAGCAGCAGUAGCAGUAGCAGCAGCAGUUGUCUCUGUCUGUAUCAAGAAGAAGAGAAAUGAUGAGCACCCUGACAUACCAGAACGUCAUGGUUUAACCCCAGCCAGCAGCUGAGCACCAGGAGGCCACUCAGUCCCCCAGAGGAGGAGUUUUCCACCUCCCCCCAGAGGAAUGGGUAGGAGAAUCGGAAGACAAAGGCAGGCAGCAAGCUGGCUGGGAAGAAGCCAACCAUUCAGUGCCUACCAGUGAUGACCAAGCUCUGAAUGAAAGUGUUUUGUCUGUAGUUUUUCCUGGUUAGAUCCUACUUUGUUAUUCUUCCUCUGUGUGGAAAUCCAGCCAUUUUAGUGGACAAAAUGAGAAGCAACUUAUGAAGGGAUUACUACAGAGAUGUUAUUAACUGGCCAUUGUUGAAGAGGACAUCAUUACGCUGUGUUACAGACUUACAAAACGUGAGGAGUUAUCGUUUCUCAGGGUUUUGGCAUUUCCAAAAGCUUCUAGGGCUGGGUUUGCUUGAAUGAUUUGAUCCUCCAAGGUUCCCUAGAAAUCAAGGUUGAAAUAUUGUUGAAAAAACCUACCGGCCACAAACUCAGCUGUCAACUAUAACUCAGCCAUGCUUUCACUUACAGACAAGACAGGGUAGCAAAGUGAUUUAGCUCCACCCCAGGGGUGGCACAGUGUGAAUGGUAUAACAGCAAGAUCGUCAGUCAAUUAUGAGUGCUUAAAAGGCCUCAAACAUUCUGCUGCUGUCUACUGUUUUGCUUUGUAGAUUUUAUAUUUUAUGCCAUCUGCCUAUGAAAGAAAUCACCAUAUCUUCCCAUGUACUGUGAAGCACGUGGGGACAUCCAAGUGAGUGUGUGUAGAAGAGGGGCUAUCAAAGACAGUGACAAGCACCAAAAUGCAUUAGAUUUGAAAGCAUUCAGAGCUUGUAAUAUUUGGGAUUUUUGGAGAUGAGAAAAGCAUUGUCUGUCACUCACAAAAACUUCAGUUUGCUGAAGCAAACUACUUUAACUGCCUGGACUUCAGGGAUCCUUCAUGAGGGGAACCACACAAAGUGAAAUGCUGAGGUUCGUGACACGGACUCACAGAGCUUGGUACCAUUUUCACAUGGGAAAUACAAAAUAGCAAAGUUGAUGACUUACCCCAGUUCUGGUAGCUGGUUGCUGUUGAAAGAGGAACACAACAGAGAGAAAAAAAAAAAAAAAAAAAAAGAGAGAGAAUGUCAGUACUAAGAUGAAGGACAUCACAAAAGAUAAAGAUUAGCAAGGUUAGAUGUCUAUGGGCACCAACACACCAGUAGGACUUUUUGAAGCCUUCCUUCAAAAAGCAUGUGUGACUGUUAUUUUGUGUUCACCAUACAUCACAAAAUAGCCGAGUGCUGUUCCUACCCAGCUUGUUGUUUUAACUGCUGAUCCAAACAUCUACCUGGUUUUGCUCUGGAGAUGUUCCACAAUGAACCAAAAGGCUAACUAACUGGACAGACAAAAGAGACUGGUGCCAGGUAGUAAGAAUAAAAGGAUGUAAAUGCAAACAGACAAGUUUUAGACAAUUAGCUCGUGCUGCAUUUGAACUCUUGGAUAUUUAAAAAAAGGAGGUUAUGAUAAUGAAAAUAAAAUGUGACCUGAGUUGACAAAUUACAUGGAAUAUCUUCCAGCUGCAAUAUCUGUUAUGUGCACAAUUGUUCCAUGACCACACCAGGCUACAGACACCAUUAUGAGCAUGCAGAAAGCUGGCUCUGGACCACUCAAUCAUUUGUUGAGACCCUUGCAGGCCUCAGAUGAACAUAUGUUAGAUUUUGGUGACAAGAAUUAUACAUAUAGAAUCCAAACCUAGCUGAAACUUUGGCCUUAUAAAUAUAGUUCAUAGGAAUCAGUUAAUUCACCACAAAAGACCGUUGAGCCUUCAAGUGCAGUGAAGCUUGCAGUGAAUAAGCUCAUAGCAACACAAGAUAAAAGCAGCGUGAAUACAGUAUUCACAGUAACCUUAGAGAGCACUUAUAAGCAGAACAGCACUUAUCCAAAGAGAAAUAUAGAAAAGCUGAUUGAAAAAAAAUAUUUGUCAAAACAUUCUUUUUUUGUGGACAAAAAAGCUUUCAACAAAACAGACGUUUUGAUGAGAAACGAUAAUCCUAGUCCUUUUGAAGUCUAUUUUCCCUGUGAAAAAACCCAAAUUUCUUAAUCUUCACAGUGUCCCCAUCUUUUGACCAGAUUUAACACAAUCAGAAACAUAUUUAACACACUGUCCUGGUUUCAGCUGAGAGGGUGAAUUUUUGUCAUAGUAGCUAGUAUGGGGCUAUGUUUUGGGUUUGCUGUCCUCUCUGUGUUCCCUCCCAACUUCUUGUGCACCCUCUGCCAACCCACUGGCAGGGCUUAUGUGUUGGGUUUGCGUGGCAAGAUUUUGGUAGGGGUGGGGCUACAGGGGUGGCUUCUGUGAGAAGCUGCUAGAAGCUUCCCCUGUGUCUGACAGAGCCAAUGCCAGCCGGCUCCAAGACGGACCCGCCGCUGGCCAAGGCCAAGCCAAUCAGCGCCUCUGUGAUAACAUAGUUAAGAAGAAGAAAAACACUUAGAGAGAGAGAGCUUUUGCAGCCAGAGAGAGGAGUGAGAAGAUGUAAGAAACUCUGCAGACACCCAGGUCAGUGCAGAAGGAGGGGCAGGAGGAGCUCCAGGCGCCGGAGCAGAGAUCCCCCUGCAGCCCGUGGUGAAGGCCAUGGUGAAGCAGGCUGUCCCCCUGCAGCCCAUGGAGGAAGGAUGAGGGAGUGUAGCGAUUCCACGUGCAGCCCGUGGAGGACCCCACGCCGGAGCAGGUGGAGGCACCUGAAGGAGGCUGUGGCCCGUGGGAAGCCCACGCUGGGGCAAGUUCCUGGCAGGACCGGUGGACCCGUGAAGAGGGGAGCCCACACCAGGGCAGGGUUCCUGGCAGGACUUGUGACCCCAUGGGGGACCCCACGCUGGAGCAGUUUGCUCCUGAAGGUCUGCACCCCGUGAGAGGGACUCCAUGCUGGAGCAGGGGAACGAUGAGAGGAGUCCUCCCCCUGAGGAUGAAGAAGCGGCAGAAACAACGUGUGAUGAACUGACUGUAACCCCCAUUCCCCGUCCCCCUGUGCUGCUGAGGGGGGAGGAGGGAGAGAAAUCGGGAGUGAAGUUGAGCCCGGGAAGAGGGGAGGGGUGGGGGGAGGUGUUUUAAGAUUUGAUUUUAUUUCUCAUUGCUCUACUCUGUUUUGCCUAGUAAUAAAUCAGAUUAAUUUCCUCUCUAAGUUCGGUCUGUUUUGCUCGUGACAACAAUUAGUGAGUGAUCUCUCCCUGUCCUUAUCUUGACCCACAAGCAUUUCGUUAUACCUUUUCUCCCCUGUUUGGUGAAUGAGGGAAGUGAGAUAGUGGCUCUGCUGGGCACCUGGCCUCCAGCCAGGGUCAACCCACCACAGCUUAUAAAUUCAAACUAGCACAUUCCAAUGAAAUCCGUCGUUAUCUCGAACCCUUCGAGACACACACGAAUGCUAAAACUCCUAGAAAAAAGCAGCAGCAACAAGCUGUUCAGAACCAGGAGUGGUUUUGCUGCUGUGUCUGGAGCGUGGCGAGUUCAGGGGAGCACUGCCUUCCUGCCUUCAGAACAGCGUGCUCUCAGUAACGCUGUGUAGAAGCGUCAGUAUCUUUUCCCAACAGUUUCUCUUCCUAACCGUGCCUGUUGAGGUCUAGCGCAUGGUCUCGUGCUCAGGAUGCAGACUUGCAAGGUUAGUUGUACGCAACAGGAAAACCUCGGGAGUGUGAGAUGAAACAGCCACCAGCAG